GUUCAGUAGGAGUUAAGCCUCGUUUUUUCAUAUCAUUGUAGAGUCUGAAUGCCUUUUUCACGUAGCCAGCCCUGCCACAGCCACCAAUUAGAACAGUGUAAUUGCUUUCUUCUGGCUUUACUCGCUCUUCCUUCAGCAUCUGCACUUCAAACAGCUCCAGGGCCUCUGCCAGCUUGUCCUCCUUGAUGAGGGCCUUGCACCUCAAGAAGUACCAGUACGGGGUGUUCCUGGGGCCACGCCACAGCCUCCCUUCCCCUUCUUCCUCCCCAUCCUCUUCAAGCUUUAAGUUCCGAAACGCAGAUGUGGUUUUGUGGUAAUAUUUUCUAGAGGAGAACUUGGUAGACAGCGUCCCGAACUCCACACCCUCAUCAUCAUCAUCUUCCUCCUCACCGCCCGCUGCUCUGGUGUGGCCUCCCGCUUCGCCUUCUUUCCCAUCCGCACCGCACGCCUCAGACGGCAACCGCGACGAGCUCAGCGCCCUCAGGGCACGCUGCAGCGGGAGGCUCGGCCUAGGGGACCGGAG
rnacentral:lncRNA from 1 species